rnacentral:lncRNA from 1 species
GCCCACAUUGGGUUAUGCUUUGUCGUUGUCGAUAAUUCGAUAAUGAGUUGAAGCAUUGUACUUUGUCGUUGUCGAUAAUUCGAUAAUGAGUUGAAGUACUAUACUUUGUCGUUUGUCGUUAAUACGAUAAAUGAGUUGAAGUAUUGCACUUUAUCAUUCACUGUGAGAAUUUGAUCUCGGGAAAUUAUCGUAACUGCUGUAUUGAGCAUUAACCCGGUUUUUGUGAAAUUCGUUAAGGUUGAUUUAGGUUUUUCACCAAUACGUAUUCCAUUAUGUUAAACCACCAGAAAUACUCCCAACUACACCCUUACAAUCAAAUAAACUAUUAAAUCAUCAGAAGAUCCAGAAUAAUAAAGUGCAUGCUUAAUUAUCGGAAGAAAUAGAAUCAAGAAGUUGUUAACUCAAUCCUGCAUGCUGAUUUGUAAUUACAGUAAACUGGAGUAAGGAUUGGAUCCGGCACUAAAAGACUUCAAGAAGUGGCUUAUUUCAUUAAAUAAAUCAAAUUAAGAAAUAUUGUUUUUAUUAAAAAGCUACCUUU